AUGAGUUCUAGGCCAGCCGGGGUGACACAGUAAGAUCUUGUCCAAAUGCUUCAGUAGACAGGUAGCACUCUAUCAAACUAAAGCGCUUGUACACAGCAAAGGAAACAGUCUGCAGCGUGAAGAGAUGACCUACAGAAUGGGAGAAAAGCCUCUGCAAAUUACACGUGUGAGGGAGGGAGGGUAAGACUCAGAGGAUCCUUAUAAACCCCAGCAGAAUCAUAUCCAGAACAGCAGAGGGGGGCACCAACCCUAUGAAGAGGGGCCAUCGGUCCAAAGAGACACAUCGACAGCCACUGGGUGUAGGAAAGGUGCUCCACUCAAUACCAGCAGUCACCACAGAGAUGCAGAUCAAAUCACAGCGGAACAUCGUCUCUCUGUCAUUCCACUUAGAAUGAGUAGCUACUAUGGACAUUUCUGUAAAAAUUGAACCCCACGGCCCUUUCUCAAGGAGAUGAAGCAGAUACGGACAUUCCCAUGUUUACUGUAGAACCAGCCACAGCAUCCAAGAUGUGGAAAAAAGCUACCUGUCCAUCAACCGAUACAGGAACGAACGGUGAAUUCUGCUCAGCUUUUAAGAAGAAUCAAGCCUGUAAUUUGUGAAGAUCAUCGUACUAGAUGGAAUGCCAGGCUUGGAAAGAUGCUGGGGUUGGUCUGGUGCUGCUAUGCACUCAAAUGGUCUCCAGCCGAAGACGUGGCCCAGAUCAAAGCUGUAUACCGCCACGCCUGGAUCCGGGACGUGCUUUGUCCCAGGCUGACUUUGAACUCAGAGAUCUCCGUGCCUUCCUCUCCUGGGAUUCAUAGCCGCUAUGCCUCAAGAUCUCCACGCCAAGAUCCAGGUCGGUAACUUGGGUCUCCAGGCCUCAAGAUCAGGAUCUCAGGUGAGCCUCCCAAUUCUGGAUUGUAGUUCAUUCCAGAUACAGUCAAGCUGACCACCAGGAACAGCCAUUGCACCAGGCAAACUAACGACGAUGGCUGUGUGAGCUGCAGAUUGAGAUCUGUGUCUGCCCACAGCAGGGGUGACUGAUUCUCUCAUGAGCACGGAGGCUGGCCUGUAGGCGACAUCUUUGCUGUUGCACAAACCUGCAGGAGACAAUGGCCCCAGCAACAGGGUGUGCAGUGCAGGCAGAGGGACCUUGCUCUUGAUCACAGGCAGCUAUGGACCAACACAAAGGAGCAGAAUGGGAAAUUACCAUGAGGAAAGACCGGGGCAGAGGCACCUAACAGGAAGCUGACAGAGCAGUAUGAUCGGCAGCCAGUGAGGUGCAUCGCUGACUGUUGCUAUGACAAAAUGCCUCACACGAAAGCACCUUGAGGAAUGAAAGGUCAUUUGGCUGACGGCUUGAGAGGAUACAGUCCCUUGUGGUGGAGGCUUGCUAACAGCACCUGCAGUCAGGAAGCAGAGGGAGCUGCCUUGGGGACUUGCUCCCUCCCCUUUUCCCAUCUGGGACCCUGUUUUGCAGGAUGGUGACGCCCACAUCCAGGAUCGCCCUUCUUCCACCUCGAUGGGAGCAUCCUCACACACACUCUCAGAGUCGUGUCUCCAUGGCGAUUCUAGACCUAGUCAAGUUCACAAUGAAAUGAACCAUCAAACAGGAGGGCGGGAAGACUACCAUCUUAUUAGAUAUUGAGUGUCAGAGGCUCUUGUUAAACCCAGAGUUUUAUAGCAUGUACGGAUGAAUCUAUAAGAAAAUCCAGGUGUCUGAUUAAAGUUUAGUCAAGCAAAGA
ensembl:lncRNA